rnacentral:tRNA from 1 species
GGAGGGGUGGCUGAGCGGUCGAAAGCACCGGUCUUGAAAACCGGCGAGGGUUCCGCCCUCCGUGGGUUCGAAUCCCACCCCCUCCGCCA